ACAUUUAGUUAGAUAGGAUCAAUGAAUGAUCACAUAGGUUGAUGGCCUAAAUUGAUGACUUUCAUUGCACUUGGGAAGGGUGUGUGUUUAAGAUCUCCUCAAGUAGGAAAAUCUACUUUAUAAUUUGUGAUAGUGGGUUCCUACAUUAGUGUGACCUCCUC
rfam:Cajanus cajan Scaffold000028_4, whole genome shotgun sequence.